UACGGAGGGGACUAGCGUUGUUCGGAAUUACUGGGCGUAAAGCGCACGUAGGCGGAUUUGUUAGUCAGGGGUGAAAUCCCGAGGCUCAACCUCGGAACUGCCUUUGAUACUGCAAAUCUCGAGUCCGGAAGAGGUGAGUGGAAUUCCUAGUGUAGAGGUGAAAUUCGUAGAUAUUCGCAAGAACACCAGUGGCGAAGGCGGCUCACUGGCCCGGUACUGACGCUGAGGUGCGAAAGCGUGGGGAGCAAACAGG
rnacentral:rRNA from 1 species